rnacentral:rRNA from 1 species
AUUGAACGCUGGCGGCAGGCCUAACACAUGCAAGUCGAACGAGUGGCGGACGGGUGAGUAAUGUCGGGGAAACUGCCUGAUGGAGGGGUAUAACUACGGGAAACGGUAGCUAAUACCGCAUACCAUCGGAUGUGCCCAGAUGGGAUUAGCUAGUAGGUGGGGAAAAGGCUCACCGAGGCGAAGAUCCCUAGCUGGUCUGAGAGGAUGACCAGCCACACUGGAACUGAGACACGGUCCAGACUCCUACGGGAGGCAGCAGUGGGGAAUAUUGCACAAUGGGCGCAAGCCUGAUACAGCCAUGCCGCGUGUAUGAAGAAGGCCUUAGGGUUGUAAAGUACUUUCAGUGGGGAGGCGUUACCCGCAGAAGAAGCACCGGCUAACUCCGUGCCAGCAGCCGCGGUAAUAC